AAUUCUUAAAGAUAGUCAUUAUUCAGAGACACUUAAAGUCUUGCUAUCUUCCCUAAUUUUAAUAAUGCAAAAUCCUUUAGAAAAAAUUAUAGAUAUCUCUUUUUUUUUUUUUUUAGAUGGAGUUUCACUCUUGUUGACCAGGCUAGAGUCCAAUGGCGCAAUCUCGGCUCACUGCACCCUCCGCCUCCCGGGUUCAAGCGAUUCUCCUGCCUCAGCCUCCUGAGUAGCUGGGAUUACAGGAGUGUGUCACUACACCCAGCUAAUUUUGUAUUUUUAGUAGAGAUGGGGUUUCUCCACAUUGGUCAGGCUGGUCUCGAACUCCCGAUCUCAGGUGAUCUGCCUGCCUCAGUCUCCCAAAGUGCUGGGAUUUAUAGGUGUGAGCCACCGUGCCCGGCUGAUGUCUCUCUUUUUUUUUACAAAAAUUAUUUUUGCGAAGUAUUUAAUGUAAAAAAUACAUUUCCAAAGGCAACAAUCUUUAGUCAAUGUACUACUCUUUUCAAAAAAUAUAUUUUAAAAUGUUUGACUUCUACUUAAAAUGCAUAUUUUCUAUUGUAUAGAGCUUAGAAAUAAUUCUAGUCCAUGGCCUUCAUUGUAUAGAUGAGGAAAUGAAGACAUACAAGGUGACUUGCCCAAGGUCACUCAGUGUUAGCUGACAUUGGCACCUUCCUCUAUUACUCUCAGACAACUACUUGUUUUUUACAAAACAAAAUCUCCAUACUAUAGUACCAUAGUUUCAAAACAAGACUGUAUGGUGAACAGCCAGUCUUAUUAGGUAAAGUAUUUCCAUGCCAAAUGUAAGUCACAUAGGGCAUUUUGUUCUUGGAGUAAUUAAACAAUAUGACCCACAAAAGUUGAAGGAUUAUUCUCAGUUGUCUCCUGCAUCUAUUUUGGUACAGGAAUGUAAACAUGGAACAAGAAGAUGGCUGUCACUCAAAAUAAAUUGCUGCAUUGGCCAGACGUUUUGGCUUUUCUGGUUGAGGGCCCAGUGGUACAUUGUGCUCUUGGCUUCCAGAAAAUGGAGUGGAUCCCAAGGCUGCUGGUUCAUGCAACUGCAAGACCUAGUAUGUUUUUUCUUACUAUUAGCCAUGUAUAGGCUGCAAGUCCUUCGACCAGGAUGAUUUAACAACUGAGUCAGUUGAUUAUAUAGAGAACCCCACUCUAUCUCAGUGUACUGAUUUACACACCUUAACUAGCUGCAGAAAUCAGAUGAAUUUCACUUAAUAAUGGGGUAGAUAGGAUCCAGUAUGGCGCCCACUAUUAUAGUUUCUUCACUAUUUUGCCCCUUCUAAAAGUGGCAUCUUUUUUUUCCACUAUUUUUGACCACUUGAAAAAGAGACCAGGAAACAAGGAUAAUGAAUGGGCCCCAUAUCAACCAGUUUUUUUUUUUUUUUUGGUGUUUUUCUUAUAAUGUCUCCCAUUUAAAUAUUCUUUCUGUUUCUCUAAAUAUCACUCCUUUGCUAGGUCUGAAUCAUCCUUAACAAGUAUAUUUUUUGAUACCGUUGUAUUUUUCAGGGGAAAAGGAAAAAAAAAACCUUUUUAUUUAAGGAUUUUUGAACACUAAUAUCUUUUACCUAGAAAGAAUUUCUCUUUUUACUUAAGUUUGAACCAGGAACUUGAAACACUAUACAUUUUCUGUUACCUUUGGCAAUAAAAUUAAAUCUGAAGUGAAAGAACUGAGUAAUCUACAACAUAUCCAUUUGUCAAUGUAACAUCCUGAGUAGCACACUUUAAACUUUUAAGCAUAUACAUUUUUAAAAGAUCUCCCUAUAAAUAGCUAAUGGGGAAAAUCUUGAUGUAUGAAAGCUCCGAGUCAUCUGUCUCACCCCACUGCUACUGUCAUGAGAGAGGGAACAGAAUUUGUCAUUAAUGGUUCAGCUCAUGGGGAAGUCCCUUUCUGAAUUUGAAAAUGGCUGUAUAUGUUUGCAGAUAAUGGUCCAGGUGCUUUUAAGUAUCUUGUAUCUAAGGAACAUGAUUUUUAAAAUCAUAAUUUAGAAAUAAAAUUAAGUAAUUAAAAUAAUAAAACAUGUCAAUGGGCAUUAUCAUAGAAAGUUUUUGAAACUCUGUAAUUUGGGUCUAGUCGGUCAACCCUGUCUUAUGGAUGACAGUGGCAUAGGCCAAGAUGUAGGUCAGGAUGCUGUAACCUAGUGGUCAGCUAAGGAAUGCUGCUGUAUGAGAUUGAAGUGAAAUUAGUUUGUACUACCAUGCAUUGGCCUUGUAGAAGUCCAAUGCCCUCAUCCAGAGUUCUGUGACUCUCUGGGAUGGGGAGGCCGGAGCUUAUAUUUUCAUGAUCACCUUUGGCUCUGUUUGUGCAUCUGAUGAAGUAUUCUUCAUUCUUCACCUUGAGGCUGUCCCUACAUCUCAAUCCUGGUGUUGACACAAAGGGUUUGGUCAGCGAUUGGUGUUUUUGAUACUCUUUUCACCCUAGAGCAACCUUAAUGCAGGUUGAUUGCAUGAAGUUUCCUUAGUGAGAGGGCCCAUCAUUGUUCAACAAUUGUAAACAACAUGAAAUUGUACAUUAGAAAAUCCUUGCCAUUUAUGAACCAAAGUUGGUUUUCCUUCAGUUUG
rnacentral:lncRNA from 1 species